CACAUCAUUGAAUAGGAGCAAAAUUUGGUGGUUGUUGUUGAAUGGCGAAACUUGAAGCGAAGUUCGGAAUGAUAGUUGACUCCGUUGGUAACUUCUUCUCUGGCAAAGACCAGCUUUCCUUGUGUGAACCUGCUCUAAAUGCAAGUGGUCUUGACAAAUUUCUUAAAUCAAUAGGAAGAAAUCCCUCAUAUGUUGAGAAUGAUGGUUUCAAGUUUGUGUUUGAUAGAAAGUUUAGACUAAUAAGGAUGUACACCAGACUAACUCGGUGAUUUUGCAUUAGGUUAACGAUACCAUUGGAACACUAGCUGGAGGCAGAUUCUACAAUUAGGAUGUCAUUGCUGCUGUGAUCCUUGGUACAGGGACAAAUGCAGCAUAUGUGGAACGUGCAAAUGCUAUUCCAAAAUGGCAUGGCCCUCUCCCGAAAUCAGGAGACAUGGUUAUAAACAUGGAGUGGGGUAAUUUCUGAUCCUCACAUCUUCCUCUAACAGAAUAUGAUAUAGCUCUAGAUGCUGAGAGCUUAAACCCUGGAGAGCAGAUAUUUGAGAAGUUGAUUUCUGGUAUGUAUUUGGGGAACAUUGUAAGGAGAGCUUUAUUGAAGAUGGCUGAAGAAGCUGACUUUUUUGUUGAUACAGUUCU